GCUUGAUUGUGGUGAUUCUGUUGCCUAUGGCGACCAUUUUUGGCAACAUUUACUUUAACGAAAAAACAAAACACAGGCGUAAGAAGAGAGGGGAGGCUUGUGAUGAUGUUACCGUAAGAAGACCUCUGGCCGAUCCGCAGUACGAGAACGCAGCAUCUCCAAUGGAGCUGGAAUGAUGAGGGGAACGUUUGAAAUAAAGGACCACAAUAUGUAUUCAUUGGUUUUUAUAGAGAAUUGUUUUCCGGUCAGGGUGGAAAUAAUCAUCUG